rnacentral:rRNA from 1 species
GAUGAACGCUGGCGGCGUGCUUAACACAUGCAAGUCGAACGAAGCACCUUGAUUUGAUUCUUCGGAUGAAGAUCUUGGCGACUGAGUGGCGGACGGGUGAGUAACGCGUGGGUAACCUGCCUCAUACAGGGGGAUAACAGUUAGAAAUGACUGCUAAUACCGCAUAAGACCACAGCACCGCAUGGUGCAGGGGUAAAAACUCCGGUGGUAUGAGAUGGACCCGCGUCUGAUUAGGUAGUUGGUGGGGUAACGGCCUACCAAGCCGACGAUCAGUAGCCGACCUGAGAGGGUGACCGGCCACAUUGGGACUGAGACACGGCCCAGACUCCUACGGGAGGCAGCAGUGGGGGAUAUUGCACAAUGGAGGAAACUCUGAUGCAGCGACGCCGCGUGAGUGAAGAAGUAUUUCGGUAUGUAAAGCUCUAUCAGCAGGGAAGAAAAUGACGGUACCUGACUAAGAAGCCCCGGCUAACUACGUGCCAGCAGCCGCGGUAAUACGUAGGGGGCAAGCGUUAUCCGGAUUUACUGGGUGUAAAGGGAGCGUAGACGGCGACGCAAGUCUGAAGUGAAAUACCCGGGCUCAACCUGGGAACUGCUUUGGAAACUGUGUUGCUAGAGUGCUGGAGAGGUAAGCGGAAUUCCUAGUGUAGCGGUGAAAUGCGUAGAUAUUAGGAAGAACACCAGUGGCGAAGGCGGCUUACUGGACAGUAACUGACGUUGAGGCUCGAAAGCGUGGGGAGCAAACAGG